rnacentral:rRNA from 1 species
AACGAACGCUGGCGGCAUGCCUAACACAUGCAAGUCGAACGAACUCUUCGGAGUUAGUGGCGCACGGGUGAGUAACGCGUGGGAACGUGCCCUUAGGUUCGGAAUAACUCACGGAAAGGUGUGCUAAUACCGGAUGAGAUCUUCGGGCGAAAGAUUUAUCGCCUUUAGAUGGGCCCGCGUUUGAUUAGCUCGUUGGUACGGUAAAAGCUUACCAAGGCGACGAUCAGUAGCUGGUCUGAGAGGAUGAUCAGCCACACUGGGACUGAGACACGGCCCAGACUCCUACGGGAGGGAGCAGUGGGGAAUAGUGCACAAUGGGCGAAAGCCUGAAGCAGCCAGGCCGCGUGAAUGAUGAAGGUCGUAGGGUUGUAAAGUUCUUUUACCCGGGAUGAUAAUGACGGUACCGGGAGAAUAAGCCCCGGCUAACUCCGUG